rnacentral:rRNA from 1 species
AGAGUUUGAUUCUGGCUCAGAACGAACGCUGGUAGCGUGGAUUAGGCAUGCAAGUCGAACGAGAAGCCACGUAUUCAAUUCUUCGGAAGAGAACGUGUGGUGGAGAGUGGCGAAAGGGUGAGGAACACGUGGGUAAUCUGCCUCUAAGUCUGGGAUAACCUCUCGAAAGGGGGGCUAAUACCGGAUGUGGUCGUUUGUCGCAAGACAGGCAGAUUAAAGGUGGGGACCCUUCGGGGCCUACCACUUGGAGAGGAGCCCGCGUCCCAUCAGCUUGUUGGUAGGGUAAUGGCCUACCAAGGCUUACGGGUAGCUGGUCUGAGAGGACGAUCAGCCACACUGGGACUGAGACACUGCCCAGACUCCUACGGGAGGCUGCAGUCGAGGAUCAUUUGCAAUGCGCGGAAGCGUGACAAUGCGACGCUGCGUGGAGGAUGAAGGCUUUCGAGUUGUAAACUCCUGUCAUUCGGGAAAAACGAGUCGGUUCCUAAUAGGGGCCGGAAGUGAUGGUACCGAAAGAGGAAGCCACGGCUAACUCUGUGCCAGCAGCCGCGGUAAUACAGAGGUGGCAAGCGUUGUUCGGAUUUACUGGGCGUAAGGGGUGCGUAGGUGGUUUCGUCCGUCGGACGUGAAAGCCCAUGGCCUAACCAUGGAAUGUCGUCCGAGACUGCGAAGCUAGAGUGCAGGAGAGGAGAGCGGAAUUCUUGGUGUAGCGGUGAAAUGCGUUGAUAUCAAGAAGAACACCGGUGGCGAAGGCGGCUCUCUAGAAUGUUACUGACACUGAGGCACGAAAGUUGGGGGAGCAAACAGGAUUAGAUACCCUGGUAGUCCCAACCUUAAACGGUGUGAACUUGGUGUGGGGGGAAUUGACCCCUCCCGUACCGGAGCUAACGCGUUAAGUUCACCGCCUGGGGAGUACGGCCGCAAGGCUAAAACUCAAAGAAAUUGACGGGGGCCCGCACAAGCGGAGGAGCAUGUGGCUCAAUUCGAUGCAACGCGAAGAACCUUACCAGGGCUUGACAUGCAGCUGCACGUCCGGUGAAAGCCGGAUUCCUUUGAGGGUGCUGCACAGGUGGUGCAUGGCUGUCGUCAGUUCGUGCCGUGAGGUGUUGGGUUAAGUCCCGCAACGAACGCAACCCUUGUGUUUAGUUGCUACCGGAGGUGAUGAGCCUUCGGGCACUCUAGACAGACUGCCCGUGUAAGCGGGAGGAAGGUGGGGAUGACGUCAAGUCAGUAUGUCCCUUACGCCCUGGGCUGCACUCGUGCUACAAUGGCAGGUACAGAGAGAAGCGAAACCGCGAGGUGGAGCAAAUCUCCAAAACCUGCCUCAGUUCGGAUUGGAGUCUGCAACUCGACUCCAUGAAGUUGGAUUCGCUAGUAACGGCGCAUCAGCUACGGCGCCGUGAAUACGUUCCCGGGCCUUGUACACACCGCCCGUCACAUCAUGAAAGCCGUCUGCACCCGAAGUCGCUGAACCAACCCGCAAGGGAGGGAGGCGCCGAAGGUGUGGGUGGUGAUUGGGAUGAAGUCGUAACAAGGUAGCCGUAG